AGCAGCCGCGGUAAUUCCAGCUCCAAUAGCGUAUAUUAAAGUUGCUGCAGUUAAAAGCUCGUAGUUGAAUUUCGGGACUAAUAUGUCGGUCGUGCCUCGGUACGUACUGGUUUAUUGGUUUCUCCUUUCUGAAGAACCAUGAUGUCAUUUAUUUGGUGUCGUGGGGAAUCAGGACUGUUACUUUGAAAAAUUAGAGUGUUUAAAGCAGGCUCACGCUUGAAUACAUUAGCAUGGAAUAAUGAAAUAGGACGUUUGAUUCUAUUUUGUUGGUUUCUAGGAUCGACGUAAUGAUUAAUAGGGAUAGUUGGGGGCAUUAGUAUUCAAUUGUCAGAGGUGAAAUUCUUGGAUUUAUUGAAGACUAACUACUGCGAAAGCAUUUGCCAAGGAUGUUUUCAUUAAUCAAGAACGAAAGUUAGGGAUCGAAGACGAUCAGAUACCGUCGUAGUCUUAACCAUAAACUAUGCCGACUAGGGAUCGGAUGAUGUUUAAUUUUUUAAUGUACUCAUUCGGCGCCUUAAC
rnacentral:misc_RNA from 1 species